GUCCCUAGAGACAGCCUGGAAAGAUUGGGUGCCAGCUGCAGAGAGGAGAGCAAGGCGACCAAACGCAGGCUGUGGCUGCCUGCAGCCCAUCCUGCCCCCAGCACCUAGAGUCAUCUUUAGAAAUGCAAGCCUGAUCGUGGAAUCCACCUUCCUAACACCCUUCAGUGCCCUCCUCUUCGUUACACCCUUACUAUACAAACGAUAGUCCAUGGACCAGCAGCAUCAACAUAACCAGGGAGCUUGUUAGAAAUGUAGAAUCUGGUCCAUCCCAAACCUGACGAAGCAGAAGCUGCAUUUUGCCAAGAUCCCAGGGAAUUUGUGUGCCCGUUAUGGUUUGCGAAGUGCUUCCCAAGAGAACAUACGGCAAGCCAGAGGGAUCUUUGCAGAUCUUGCUCCUUUCAUUCUCUGGCCUCAUCUUGUCGCUCUCCUCCAUCCGUGCCCACAUCCCCACUGUACUGGACCGCUUGCAGCUCCUUGAAUGCAGCAUAGUCUUGUUUUCUUUUUUGCAGUGAUUCUACAUCUUUCCCAUCUUCUCCACCUGGAUGCCUCCAUCCAUCCUUUCAGACUUCCCUUCUCUAGCAAACCUUUCUUGCUAAUUCCCAUGUCUAACACAACACUUCCCCAUACUGCAUGGCCAUUAUCCUUUCUGCAUCAGACUGUGAGCACCUUGAAGGCAGUGGCAGUGACUCAUUCAUUGUGGCAUCUGCAGAUUCCAGUGGACUGCCAGGCAUGCAAUAGAAAAUCAAAAAAGAUUUACUGCUAAAUAAUCCUCAACUCCAGUGGCAGCUCCAUGUGCCAUUUCUCUUCCGCUCUGGCCUCGGCUCUUCCUGUGCCUACCUGGGGCUUGGCUUUCACCUAGGUGUCUGCAUGGAAGGGAGAGCGACCUGGAGGACCAUCGCCAAUCCAUCAAUAGCCUCCCGGUUGAGAUGACUUCAGCUCUGAUUUGGAAGAGCUAUGAUAUUGUUUAUAGGAGUGAAUUAAUAUGUGUAAAGGUUACAAAGUAAACAGUUAAAUUAAAUUAAUUGUGCUGGAGCAGGUCAAACAGGCUUCUGAGAGAUGAACAUACACAUCUCUAUUAACUCCACAUUCAGUGAGUGUGGGUAACUUGAAAUUGGCUGGGUCACCAUUUACAUCAUAGAAAUUGGCAAAUAGUACAAAUUAGGGCUCCCUCACCCCUACUCGGGCAUAGAGCUGGUACACUAGCACACCUCUGGUUAUACAUGCAUGCGUGUGCCACCAGAACAAAACACCUAACAGCAGGCACGUUGCCUCUGUUGCCCACCAUUACAGCUCCCGCACGGAGCAGACAGACUCAUGGCAGGAAUUGAAUGCAUGUUUGUCGAGUGGAAGCAUGAACAAAUCCACAAAAUGCCCAAGAUGAGGCAAAGAAGGACAUUGGCUCAAAUGUUAAACAUAAGUUAGGAGCUGAGAUAAUGCCCAGAGGAAAAAUGUUCUGUAAUUCUAAGUAAAACCCAUCUCUAAGGCAGGAUGCUGCUUAUGAGGGCUCCACAGACAGAUGGGGGAGGCCUGGGUCCUGCCCUUGGAAAGAGUCUGACAGCUCGACUUCUGGAAACAGCCAUCUGCACAGGUCAACAUCUUCUUAGCUGACAGGGAGCAGAUUUGCAGACCACAUCACAUUUGAAAUUCCAGAAGAAACUUCUUGGAGUCUGCUCUUGUGCAAAUGAGCCUAGAAAGCCCGUUAACUUUGGGUGGAGGCUUCCACUGUUUGGCUAUCCCAAGUGGGCCCAAAGCUAAGGAAAACCCACCAGCCCUUUGCUUCCUGCUUCCUCUAUUUGUUUGCCCCAGGAAAUCAGAGGUGAUGACAUGAUUUGGCUUGGGCACGACAGGAAUAAACGAUAUUUAAGAGACGUCAAAAAAAAAAAAAAAAAAAAA
rnacentral:lncRNA from 1 species